rnacentral:rRNA from 1 species
UGAAGCGGCAAAAGCUCCAUUUUGAAAGCUCUUCGGAGCGUUGUAGAUUGGUGGGAAGCUAACGGCUGGUGGGAGACCAAGUCCUCUGGAACGAGGCGCCAUAGAGGGUGAGAGCCCCGUGUGUCUCCUUUACCGACCUUUCAGCCCCCUCCGCGGAGUCGAGUUGUUUGGGAAUGCAGCUCUAAGUGGGUGGUAAAUUCCAUCUAAGGCUAAAUAUUGGCGAGAGACCGAUAGCGAACAAGUACAGUGAUGGAAAGAUGAAAAGCACUUUGAAAAGAGAGUGAAACAGUACGUGAAAUUGUUGAAAGGGAAGGGUAUUUGGCCCGACAUGGGUCCUAUGCACCGUUGCCUCUCGUGGGCGGCGCUCUGCUUGGGCCUGGGCCAGCGUCAGUUUGGAGGGGGCGAGAAGGGUUUUGGGGAGUUGCCUAGCAAUUCCCCUUUGCUAGAUUGCCCCACACCGGACUGAGGACCGCCAUCUGUAGGAUGCUGGCACAACGGCCAAAUACCGCCCGUCUUGAACCACGGACCAAA